rnacentral:rRNA from 1 species
AGAGUUUGAUCAUGGCUCAGGACGAACGCUGGCGGCGUGCUUAACACAUGCAAGUCGAACGGAAAGGCCCUUCGGGGUACUCGAGUGGCGAACGGGUGAGUAACACGUGGGUGAUCUGCCCUGCACUUUGGGAUAAGCCUGGGAAACUGGGUCUAAUAUCGAAUAGGACCACGCGCUUCAUGGUGUGUGGUGGAAAGCUUUUGCGGUGUGGGAUGGGCCCGCGGCCUAUCAGCUUGUUGGUGGGGUAAUGGCCUACCAAGGCGACGACGGGUAGCCGGCCUGAGAGGGUGACCGGCCACACUGGGACUGAGAUACGGCCCAGACUCCUACGGGAGGCAGCAGUGGGGAAUAUUGCACAAUGGGCGCAAGCCUGAUGCAGCGACGCCGCGUGAGGGAUGACGGCCUUCGGGUUGUAAACCUCUUUCAAUAGGGACGAAGCGCAAGUGACGGUACCUAUAGAAGAAGCACCGGCCAACUACGUGCCAGCAGCCGCGGUAAUACGUAGGGUGCGAGCGUUGUCCGGAAUUACUGGGCGUAAAGAGCUCGUAGGUGGUUUGUCACGUUGUCCGUGAAAACUCACAGCUUAACUGUGGGCGUGCGGGCGAUACGGGCAGACUGGAGUACUGUAGGGGAGACUGGAAUUCCUGGUGUAGCGGUAGAAUGCGCAGAUAUCAGGAGGAACACCGGUGGCGAAGGCGGGUCUCUGGGCAGUAACUGACGCUGAGGAGCGAAAGCGUGGGGAGCGAACAGGAUUAGAUACCCUGGUAGUCC